GAAACGGCAGCCUCAACCGCCUGGCAGCGGCGGUUUCUUCUCUUCGUGAAAAUCGUGAUCUCAUCUCUCCGUCCAUGGGCGAAAAAACAGCCAUCACCAGGCCAUUCACGCUUUGUGCUUUUGUUAGCAGAGCCCAGGCAGCCCUGCAGCCCACAUCUAGGGUACAAACGGAACGGCGGCGUUUUCCUUGUAUCAUUUAGAGGAAAUUUUUGAGCUGAACAGUAUUUUUUUUCUCCCUCUCUCUCUCUCUGAAAUAUUGCUGAGAUUUAAAGGAGGACGAAGACAACAGAUUCAUAGCUGGGUCUUGCUGUUUUCCUGACGCUGACCACAGCGGAUCUAGGUGGCUAUUUCGUUGGUGCACAGGCGUUCACAGAGGCAGAGAGGGGAGAAAGUUGUCAAACAGAUUCACAGACUGUCAAAGUGCGGCUUAAACCGAGUUCCUGGGCUCCCUCACUGGCUUCGUCCACUUAAACUUUUAACGUACACAUGUAGAGAGCUGAAACUCCAGGGGUAACAUGGGACAGGUCCUCUUGAUUUAAUGAAAACAGAAGAUCAACUGGACCGGGUAGCAAGAAAUAAGGCUUAAGAAGCACUGGCUGGGAAUGUUCCUACUUUUUUUUCAGUUUCUCUGCAGAAGACAGCAAGAUGCCCCAGGGAAUGUUUGUGAAAAAGGAUGACUGGAUGGGAAGCAAGCUGAAGAAAAAGAAGGAAAGAAAGAGAGAAAUCAGUAAAUCACCACACAAGAGGUGGAGAAGAGGACUUAUAAAUAUUGUUUCUAUGACAUUUGAAAAUAAAUGUUUUACUCCAUGCUAAUAGUGAAUGUGAUGUCUUCAGUUUGAAGGGCUUUAAGUGAAGCUCAUUAAAACCCACUAUUUUCCAUU
rnacentral:lncRNA from 1 species